GAUGAACGCUCGCUACAGGCUUAACACAUGCAAGUCGAGGGGAAACGACAUCGAAAGCUUGCUUUUGAUGGGCGUCGACCGGCGCACGGGUGAGUAACGCGUAUCCAACCUGCCCACCACUUGGGGAUAACCCUGCGAAAGUAAGACUAAUACCCAAUGAUAUCUCUAGAAGACAUCUGAAAGAGAUUAAAGAUUUAUCGGUGAUGGAUGGGGAUGCGUCUGAUUAGCUUGUUGGCGGGGUAACGGCCCACCAAGGCAACGAUCAGUAGGGGUUCUGAGAGGAAGGUCCCCCACAUUGGAACUGAGACACGGUCCAAACUCCUACGGGAGGCAGCAGUGAGGAAUAUUGGUCAAUGGACGAGAGUCUGAACCAGCCAAGUAGCGUGCAGGAAGACGGCCCUAUGGGUUGUAAACUGCUUUUAUAAGGGAAUAAAGUGAGUCUCGUGAGACUUUUUGCAUGUACCUUAUGAAUAAGGACCGGCUAAUUCCGUG
rnacentral:rRNA from 1 species